rnacentral:rRNA from 1 species
CGUGUAGGCGGUUUGGUAAGUCUGAUGUGAAAGCCCUGGGCUCAACCCGGGAAGUGCAUUGGAAACUGUCAGACUUGAAUACGGGAGAGGGUAGUGGAAUUCCUGGUGUAGGAGUGAAAUCCGUAGAUAUCAGGAGGAACACCGGUGGUGAAGGCGGCUGCCUGGACCGAUAUUGACGCUGAGACGCGAAAGCGUGGGUAGCAAACAGGAUUAGAUACCCUGGUAGUCCACGCCGUAAACGAUGAGUACUAGGUGUUGCGGGUAUUGACCCCUGCAGUGCCGCAGCUAACGCAUUAAGUACUCCGCCUGGGAAGUACGGUCGCAAGACUAAA